CGGGACCUUGGGCUUGUGAGGCAGGUGGUGGAACCACUGAGCUAAAUCCCCGGCCCAAAAGCCACUUUCUUAUGCAGACUCAGCCACGUACUUUUUCAGACUGACUUCCCUCGAGUGGGGGAGGACCUCCCAGUGAGGCCUGUGAGUGCACACAGCUGUGAGCAGUGAGCUGGGCUGCACUCUGCGAGCCGCUGGCCGGUGGUUCCUGGCCUGCUCUGUUGAUGAGGGAGGUGAGAUCUCAUACCUUCCUGCUCCACACUGGGAGACUACAGUAUUCCUGUGUAUGAAUUUGUUACGGGACAUCAGUCCAGGUGCUUGCCGCACAACAGGCCAAUUCACACCAAGAGACAAGGCGCCGAGGCAAGGAAGGUGACUAGAGAAAAGCCAGCAGGACAAGAAGAUGGAG